rnacentral:rRNA from 1 species
GACGGAGGAUGCAAUCGUUAUCCGGAAUUAUUGGGCGUAAAGCGUCCGCAGGUGGCUGUUCAAGUCUGCUGUCAAAGCGCAGAGCUUAACUCUGUACAGGCGGUGGAAACUGAAGAGCUAGAGUAUGGUAGGGGUAGAGGGAAUUCCCGGUGUAGCGGUGAAAUGCGUAGAUAUCGGGAAGAACACCAGUGGCGAAAGCGCUCUACUGGGCCAUAACUGACACUGAGGGACGAAAGCUAGGGGAGCGAAAGGG